UACGAAGGUGGCAAGCGUUGUUCGGAUUUACUGGGCGUACAGGGAGCGUAGGCGGUUGGAUAAGCCCUCCGUGAAAUCUCCAGGCUUAACCUGGAAAGUGCAGAGGGGACUGUUCAGCUAGAGGAUGGGAGAGGAGCGCGGAAUUCCCGGUGUAGCGGUGAAAUGCGUAGAGAUCGGGAGGAACACCUGUGGCGAAGGCGGCCGACUGGGCCGACCCUGACGCUGAGGCGCGAAGGCGUGGGGAGCGAACGGG
rnacentral:rRNA from 1 species